rnacentral:lncRNA from 1 species
UACAUGUUGCUACCUUCUUUUUGAGACAUUGUGACUAUAAUUUGAUUUGGUUCAACAUGUACAUAUAGAACCCUUUUUGUUGGUAUUAUGUCGCAUGUGUUGUGACAUGGUAUUUUGUUAGAAUAUACCGUAGGGUAUACCAGAGCUAUAACCACCUGUGGGGGUACCACAGGCAUGUCGUCUUGGCACGAGAGACAUGACACUUUCCGUGGCGGUGUGGUUAGUCCACAGUGUCUCCGUUUUGGGCUCCGGAGGUAGUGGGCCAUUUGGUGUUUUGUUGUGGGAGGCGUAUGGGUUAACCCUAGUUUUCUGUUCUGCGAAUUGGUGAUGUUGUGCCAAACACACUAUCCG